ensembl:lncRNA
ACAGGUGGGCAUAAGCUGACAGACAGGUGGGUAUAAGCUGACAGACAGGUGGGUAUAAGCUGACAGACAGGUGGGUAUAAACUGACAGACAGGUGGGUAUAAGCUGACAGACAGGUGGGCAUAAACUGACAGACAGGUGGGUAUAAGCUGACAGACAGGUGGGUAUAAGCUGACAGACAGGUGGGUAUAAGCUGACAGACAGGUGGGCAUAAGCUGACAGACAGGUGGGCAUAAACUGACAGACAGGUGGGCAUAAGCUGACAGACAGGUGGGUAUAAGCUGACAGACAGGUGGGUAUAAGCUGACAGACAGGUGGGCAUAAACUGACAGACAGGUGGGUAUAAGCUGACAGACAGGUGGGUAUAAGCUGAC